rnacentral:rRNA from 1 species
GACGAACGCUGGCGGCGUGCCUAAUACAUGCAAGUUGAGCGAUGAAGAUUGGUGCUUGCACCAAUUUGAAGAGCAGCGAACGGGUGAGUAACGCGUGGGGAAUCUGCCUUUGAGCGGGGGACAACAUUUGGAGACGAAUGCUAAUACCGCAUAACAACUUUAAACAUAAGUUUUAAGUUUGAAAGAUGCAAUUGCAUCACUCAAAGAUGAUCCCGCGUUGUAUUAGCUAGUUGGUGAGGUAAAGGCUCACCAAGGCGAUGAUACAUAGCCGACCUGAGAGGGUGAUCGGCCACAUUGGGACUGAGACACGGCCCAAACUCCUACGGGAGGCAGCAGUAGGGAAUCUUCGGCAAUGGACGAAAGUCUGACCGAGCAACGCCGCGUGAGUGAAGAAGGUUUUCGGAUCGUAAAACUCUGUUGGUAGAGAAGAACGUUGGUGAGAGUGGAAAGCUCAUCAAGUGACGGUAACUACCCAGAAAGGGACGGCUAACUACGU